GAUAAGGUUUUUGAAAAUAGGGAGGUGGGGUGCUCUGUGUGAUAAUGUUUUGAAGAGGGAGGUUUGGGGGUGUCUGUGUGAUAAUGUUUUGAAGAGGGAGGUGGGGGUGCCUCUGUGUGAUAAUUGUUUGAAGAGGGAGGUGGGGUGUCUGUUGAUAAUGUUUUGGAAGAGGGAAGGUGGGGGUGGCAUCUGUGG
rnacentral:lncRNA from 1 species